CAACUACUCCCUCUGUCCCAAAUUUCUUGUCUUAGAUUUGUCUAGAUACGGAUGUAUCUAAUACUAAAAUGUGACUUGAUACAUCCGUAUCUAGACAAAUCUAAGACAAGAAUUUUGGUACGGAGGGAGUACUUU
rfam:Triticum aestivum genome assembly, contig: Triticum_aestivum_CS42_TGACv1_scaffold_704425_T_7BL-0.036241_3B-0.028570